ACUCAAAGGAAUUGACGGGGGCCCGCACAAGCGGCGGAGCAUGCGGAUUAAUUCGAUGCAACGCGAAGAACCUUACCAAGGCUUGACAUGAACCGGUAAUACCUGGAAACAGGUGCCCCGCUUGCGGUCGGUUUACAGGUGGUGCAUGGUUGUCGUCAGCUCGUGUCGUGAGAUGUUGGGUUAAGUCCCGCAACGAGCGCAACCCUCGUUCUAUGUUGCCAGCGCGUUAUGGCGGGGACUCAUAGGAGACUGCCGGGGUCAACUCGGAGGAAGGUGGGGACGACGUCAAAUCAUCAUGCCCCUUAUGUCUUGGGCUUCACGCAUGCUACAAUGGCCGGUACAAAGGGUUGCGAUACUGUGAGGUGGAGCUAAUCCCAAAAAGCCGGUCUCAGUUCGGAUUGGGGUCUGCAACUCGACCCCAUGAAGUCGGAGUCGCUAGUAAUCGCAGAUCAGCAACGCUGCGGUGAAUACGUUCCUGGGCCUUGUACACACCGCCCGUCAAGUCACGAAAGUUGGUAACACCCGAAGCCGGUGGCCUAACCCUUGUGGGGGGAGCCGUCGAAGGUGGGACCGGCGAUUGGGACUAAGUCGUAACAAGGUAGCCGUACCGGAAGGUGCGGCUGGAUCACCUCCU
rnacentral:rRNA from 2 species